rnacentral:lncRNA from 1 species
AAGUUACUAUUUAUGGAAAUCAACUAUAAAAGGAAUUGUAAGUUUCCAUUUUGGGGGGAUAGUUAUGCUUUAAAAACAAAAGUUACUAUUUAUGGAAAUCUACUAUAAAAGGAAUGGUAAGUUUCCAUUUCGGGGGAUUCCUUUUCUGAAAAUUCAACACUAAUUGCCACAUGUUGCGACCUCAUUCGUCCUAAGUCACUAAUCUGUCCAUGUCAUUAAAGUUUUACAUUUUUUCCACCAUUUCAAAACUUUAAAAAUGCAUAGAAAAUAGCGCCAGUGUCGGAAAAAUUCACCGAAAAAUGUCACGGACCACUGGCGGGACCCACUUCACAACUGCGUCUGAAUUUUAGUCAUUGGAAUCACAAUGUACCUACUAAUGUGGUAUAACUUGUUUGGUAGGUUAUAUGCUAGUGUACAACUUUGUGAACCAACUAUAUAGAGGAAGCAAAAUUUUCAAAAAUCUUGUGAAAUAGGAUGUGAUCGGUAUAGUAAAAUAUGGCUACGGUAGAAAAAUCACUUUAAUUUGCCAAUGUUUGGGCCCCGAUCGAAGCGGUCAACCCUAUUUACGUUUAUGUUUCACUAAGGAGAGCCCUAUCCUCGGGUGGUAAAUGUUCCCCAAAGUUUUACAUGGGUGGUUAAAUCUCAUCUAUGUGAGACUUUAUUGUGUUGAAGAAUCCACCAAACUAGGUCACAAAGAGGUAGGUAAGAUAGUUUUUGUGUGAUAAGUGAAUAUGAAUUAGGAUUGACCGCUUUGAUCGAGCCCCGAACAUUGUUGAAUCCAGUUGAAUUUUAUACCAUAGUCAUGUUUCACUAUAAUGAUCACAUCAUACGGUCAAUUUUCAUUUUGUGAAUUUUAGUCAUCGAAAUCAUAACAUGUCUACUAAAGUAAUAUAACUUGUUUGAUAGGUUAUAUGCUAGUGUACAACUUUGUGAACCAACUAUAUAGAGGAAGCAAAAUUUUAAAAAAUCUCAUGAAAUAGGAUGUGAUCGGUAUAGUAAAAUACGGCUACGGUAGGAAAAUCACUUUAAUUUGUUAAUGUAUGGGCCCCGAUCGAAGCGGUCAACCCUAUUUAUGCUUAUGCUUCAAUAAGGAGAGCCCUAUCCUCGGGUGGUAAACGUCCCCAAAGUUUUACAUGGGUGGUUAUGUCUCAUCUAUGUGACACUUUAUUGUGUUGAAGAAUCCACCAAACUAGGUCACGAAGAGGUAGGUAAGAUAGUUUUCGUGUGAUAAGUGAAGAUGAAUUAGGGUUGACCGCUUUGAUCGAGCAUCGAACAUUGUUGAAUCUAGUUGAAUUUUAUACCAUAGCUAUGUUUCACUAUAAUGAUCACAUGAUACGGUCAAUUUUCAUUUUGUGAAUGUUCAUUGAUUCAAUCUCAAGAACAAUUUUGAUUUCCAGAAUGUCUACUUUUCUGUGAUUUUGCCCAUCUAAAUGGUAGACAUUUCUCAUGAAAACAAUAGUUGUGUCUUAUGUUAAAUGUAGACUUUGUAACUUUCACCUUCCAUUAUUGAUUCAAUCUCAAGAGCAAUUUAGAUUUCCAGAAAAUCUACUUUUCUUUGAUUUCUUUUAUGUUAAUGGUAGACAUUUCUUAUGAAAAAAGUCGUUGUGUCUUAUGUUAAAUGUAGACUUUGCAUUUUUUACCUUGGUUAAUUUGCUUUAAUCUCAAAAACAAUUUAAUUUUCCAGAAAGUCUACUUUUCUUUGAUUUCUCUUAUGUUAAUGGUAGACGUUUCUAAUGAAAAUAGUAGACGUGUCUUAUGUUAAAUGUAGA